rnacentral:rRNA from 1 species
GAUGAACGCUGGCGGCGUGCCUAACACAUGCAAGUCGAACGGAGCUGCUUUGAUGAAGUUUUCGGAUGGAUUUAAAACAGCUUAGUGGCGGACGGGUGAGUAACGCGUGGGUAACCUGCCUCACACUGGGGGAUAACAGUUAGAAAUAGCUGCUAAUACCGCAUAAGCGCACGGUUCCGCAUGGAACAGUGUGAAAAAACUCCGGUGGUGUGAGAUGGACCCCGNGUCUGAUUAGCCAAUUGGCGGGGUAAAGGCCCACCAAGGCGACGAUCAGUAGCCGGACUGAGAGGUUGAACGGCCACAUUGGGACUGAGAUACGGCCCA